rnacentral:rRNA from 1 species
AGAGUUUGAUCAUGGCUCAGAUUGAACGCUGGCGGCAGGCUUAACACAUGCAAGUCGAACGGUAACAGAACUAGCUUGCUAGUUGCUGACGAGUGGCGGACGGGUGAGUAACGCGUAGGAAUCUACCGAAUAGUGGGGGACAGCAGUUGGAAACGGCUGCUAAUACCGCAUACGCCCUACGGGGGAAAGGAGGGGAUCUUCGGACCUUUCGCUAUUUGAUGAGCCUGCGUGAGAUUAGUUAGUUGGUGGGGUAAUGGCUCACCAAGGCGACGAUCUCUAGCUGGUCUGAGAGGAUGAUCAGCCACACUGGGACUGAGACACGGCCCAGACUCCUACGGGAGGCAGCAGUGGGGAAUAUUGCACAAUGGGGGAAACCCUGAUGCAGCCAUGCCGCGUGUGUGAAGAAGGCCUUCGGGUUGUAAAGCACUUUCAGUUGUGAGGAAAGGUUAAGGGUUAAUAACCCUUAG